rnacentral:rRNA from 1 species
UAUUGGACAAUGGGCGAAAGCCUGAUCCAGCAAUGCCGCGUGAGUGAUGAAGGCCCUAGGGUUGUAAAGCUCUUUUACCCGGGAAGAUAAUGACUGUACCGGGAGAAUAAGCCCCGGCUAACUCCGUGCCAGCAGCCGCGGUAAUACGGAGGGGGCUAGCGUUGUUCGGAAUUACUGGGCGUAAAGCGCACGUAGGCGGCUUUGUAAGUCAGAGGUGAAAGCCUGGAGCUCAACUCCAGAACUGCCUUUGAGACUGCAUCGCUUGAAUCCAGGAGAGGUCAGUGGAAUUCCGAGUGUAGAGGUGAAAUUCGUAGAUAUUCGGAAGAACACCAGUGGCGAAGGCGACUGACUGGACUGGUAUGACGCUGAGUGCGAA